GUCACUGUCAAGAUGGCGCCGGUCGCAGCGGCGGCUGCCGCGGCGGCUGGAACCAGAGAAGGAGGCGGAGGCAGCGGCGGCCGCGAGGGGAGGGGGAGUCCCGUCUGACUGAGACCGCAGGCCUGGGCGGGCGGGGGUGCCGCGCAGGGCGGAGCGCCGGGCUGGGGAUGAGCUAAGCGGGUUCGGAGCCCCGCGGCAUUCAGUCUCUCGUGUCCCGCCGCCGCUGGUGAGUGGACGCGGCACCGCUCUCCAAGCUCGACCGGCUGCUCGCGAGGGAGCCAGCGGUGAGUAUUUCUCAAACUUCAAGGCUUGCAGAAUUCACAAAUUGAGAUCUGGCAUCAUUUUCAGAGAGAGACUUUCAGUAAUGUAUGUAACCUUCUGUAAUGGAAGAUGAUUGAAGAUAAGGGGCCUCGUGUUGCUGACUACUUUGUUGUAGCAGGAUUAACUGAUGUUUCAAAGCCUCUUGAAGAAGAAAUUCACUUCAAUGAUGCUUGUCAUAAAGUAGCUAAACCAAAAGAACCUAUCACAGAUGUUUCAGUUAUUAUUAAAUCUCUUGGGGAGGAAGUGCCACGGGAUUACACGUGUAUUGAUGUUACCCCAACUGGACUGUCAGCUGAUCUCAAUAAUGGAAGUCUUGUGGGGCCGCAGAUUUUCCUUUGCUAUAGAAGAGGAAGAGAUAAGCCUCCACUUACAGAUCUGGGGGUUUUAUAUGACUGGAAAGAAAGAUUGAAACAGGGGUGUGAAGUUAUCCAGAGUACUCCCUACGGACGCCCUGCAAAUAUUAGCGGGAGUACCUCAUCACAAAGAAUUUAUAUCACUUACCGAAGAGCCUCUGAAAACAUGACUCAGAAUACGUUGGCUGUUACAGACAUAUGUAUUAUUAUACCCAGUAAAGGAGAAAGUCCACCACACACAUUCUGCAAAGUUGACAAGAAUCUCAAUAACAGUAUGUGGGGAUCAGCAGUGUACUUAUGUUAUAAAAAAUCGGUGGCAAAGACUAACACUGUAUCUUACAAAGCUGGUCUAAUUUGUAGAUACCCUCAAGAAGAUUAUGAGUCAUUCUCACUCCCAGAAUCUGUUCCCCUAUUUUGUUUACCAAUGGGUGCAACUAUUGAAUGUUGGCCACCAAAUAGCAAAUACCCUCUCCCUGUAUUUUCUACAUUUGUGUUAACUGGAGCCUCAGCUGAAAAGGUCUAUGGUGCUGCUAUUCAGUUUUAUGAACCAUACUCCGAAGAGAAUCUCACAGAAAAACAGAGAUUUCUUUUGGGUUUAGCAUCAUCAGCAGAUGAGAAGUCUGAUAGUUCCAAGACAGUUCACACUAGUAAAUGCAUCUGUCUUCUCUCUCACUGGCCUUUUUUUGAUGCAUUCAGGAAGUUUCUGACUUUUCUAUAUCGUUAUUCCAUCUCUGGACCUCAUGUCCUUCCAAUUGAGAAGCAUAUUUCUCAUUUUAUGCAUAAAGUUCCUUUUCCAUCUCCUCAGAGACCACGGAUUUUAGUUCAGUUAUCACCACAUGAUAAUCUGAUUCUCAGUCAGCCUGUUUCUUCACCUCUUCCGCUAAGUGGUGGCAAGUUUUCAACAUUACUUCAGAAUUUGGGCCCUGAAAAUGCUGUGACACUACUGGUGUUUGCAGUAACAGAACAUAAGAUUCUUAUUCAUUCCUUACGGCCUUCAGUGCUUACUAGUGUGACAGAAGCAUUAGUGUCUAUGAUUUUCCCUUUCCACUGGCCAUGCCCCUAUGUUCCUCUCUGCCCACUGGCUUUAGCAGAUGUCUUGAGUGCACCAUGUCCAUUCAUAGUAGGAAUUGAUUCAAGAUACUUUGAUCUCUAUGACCCUCCACCAGAUGUCAGUUGUGUUGACCUAGAUACCAACACAAUUUCUCAAACUGGUGACAAGAAAAAUGUAGCCUGGAAGGUACUUCCAAAGAAACCAUGUAAAAAUCUGAUGAACACACUGAAUAAUUUGCACCAGCAGUUGGCAAAAUUGCAGCAGAGACCAAGAGACGAUGGACUAAUGGACUUAGCAAUGAAUGAUUAUGAUUUUAAUUCUGGAAAGAGGUUGCACAUGAUAGAUUUGGAAAUCCAAGAGGCAUUUUUAUGUUUCAUGGCCUCUAUUUUAAAAGGUUAUAGAUCAUACUUAAGACCAAUAACACAAGCCCCAUCUGAGACAGCCACAGAUGCAGCCUCUCUUUUUGCCCUACAAGCUUUCUUAAGAAGCCGGGACCGGUCACAUCAGAAAUUCUAUAACAUGAUGACCAAAACACAAAUGUUUAUUCGCUUCAUUGAGGAAUGUUCUUUUGUCAGUGAUAAAGAUGCAAGCCUGGCGUUUUUUGAUGAUUGUGUAGAUAAAGUGGAUAUGGACAAGAGUGGUGAAGUGCGACUUAUAGAACUGGAUGAAUCUUUCAAAAGUGAACAUACUGUUUUUGUAACACCACCUGAGAUCCCCCAUCUACCCAAUGGUGAAGAACCCCCUUUACAGUACAGCUAUAAUGGAUUUCCAGUUCUUAGGAACAAUUUAUUUGAGAGACCUGAAGGAUUUCUACAAACACGAAAGAGCAAAUUGCCUUCAAAAUCAAGUAGUCCUAGUAGCCCUUCUCCCAUGUUCAGAAGAACAAAACAGGAAAUUAAAUCAGCCCAUAAAAUUGCCAAGAGGUACUCUUCCAUUCCUCAGAUGUGGUCUAGGUGUCUACUGCGUCACUGUUACGGGCUGUGGUUUAUUUGUCUCCCAGCUUAUGUGAAAGUAUGUCAUUCAAAAGUCAGGGCUCUGAAAACAGCCUAUGAUGUGCUUAAAAAAAUGCAGUCAAAGAAGAUGGAUCCACCUGAUGAGGUGUGCUACCGCAUUCUUAUGCAGCUCUGUGGACAGUAUGAUCAGCCAGUGCUUGCAGUUCGAGUGCUGUUUGAAAUGCAGAAAGCUGGUAUUGACCCCAAUGCCAUAACUUAUGGUUAUUAUAAUAAGGCUGUUUUGGAAAGUACCUGGCCUUCAAGGAGUCGUAGUGGCUAUUUUCUUUGGACAAAAGUGAGAAACGUUGUUUUAGGAGUAGCACAGUUCAAAAGAGCUUUAAAGAAACACGCACAUUUAUCGCAAACAACUCUCUCAGCAGAUGGCAGUGACCUGGAUGCUGUUAGUCAUGGCAGCAUGGAUAGUGGUCAUGGGACACACACUGUGGAGCAGGCACCUUUUAAUACGGGUUUAAUCAAAGUGUAUGCUUCUGAUGAUAGAUCUAGUACAGGUGGCCAGUCUGACCUUGGAUAUAAUUCACUAUCUAAGGAUGAAGUUAGAAGAGGGGAUACAUCUACUGAGGACAUUCAAGAAGAAAAAGAUAAGAAAGGGAGUGAUUCUAGUUCCUUGUCAGAGAGCGAGAGUGCAAAGGGAAGUGCUGAUUGUCUUCCUAAGCUCAAUUAUCAAAGUUCUUCCAGUAUAGUUCGCCUCAGUGCUACAAAUAACAGUGCUGAUAAAACGUCAGGAGAAAGCACAGAAAGUACGUCUGAGCCGCUCUUAAUAUCAUCUUUUGAGGAUACAAAUGAAACAGGAAACAUUCAAAGUAGAUGCUUCAGGAAAAGACAUAAAAGUGACAAUGAGCCUAAUUUGCAGCAGCAAAUGUCCUGGGGAAAUAGAAACCGAAAUCUUAGUGGAGGAGUACUAAUGGGACUUAUGCUCAAUAGAAUUAACCAGGAAGCAAACCCUGGAGAUAUGGUUGAAAAAUUAGGAGCUGAUGCAAAAAUUCUUUCAAAUGUAAUCUCAAAAAGCACAAGACCAAAUAGUCUUGAUAUUGGAAAGCCAUCUUUAAGAUCAAAAAGAGACAGUAUAGAGAAGGAAUCUAGUGAUGAUGAUACACCUUUUGAUGGUUCUAAUUGUUUGGCAGAUAAAGUGGAUUCUCCUGUUAUUUUUGACUUAGAAGACUUAGACAAUGAAACAGAUGGAUCAAAAGUGGGGUAUGUUGCUCCACAAAAUCCUAAGAGGAGUCAACGCUUGAAUAGCAGCUUUUCAGUAAAACCUUUCGAAAAAACUGAUGUUGCAACAGGAUUUGAUCCCCUCUCUCUUCUGGUUGCUGAGACUGAACAGCAGCAAAAAGAGGAGGAGGAAGAGGAGGAAGAUGAUAGCAAAAGCGUUUCAACACCAUCUGCUAGGCGAGAUUUAGCUGAAGAAAUUGUGAUGUAUAUGAAUAACAUGAGCAGUCCUUUGACAAGUCGAACACCAAGCAUUGAUUUACAACGGGCCUGUGAUGAUAAAGUAACCACUAAGAAAAGUCCAACGUUGGUCAAGGCAUGCAGAAGAUCUAGCCUGCCUCCUAAUUCUCCUGGGCCAGUGAGACUUACCAAAUCUAAAAGUUACUCAAAAAACGAAGACAGACCAAGGGAUAGACUCUGGUCUUCUCCAGCCUUCUCACCUACUUGCCCAUUUAGGGAAGAAUCUCAAGAUGCAUUAACCCAUUCAUCACCUUCAUUUAAUUUAGAUACACUACUAGUACCUAAACUAGAUGUUCUAAGAAACAGUAUGUUCACUGCUGGAAAAGGAGUUGCAGAGAAAGCAAGCAAAUGGUAUUCAAGAUUCACCAUGUACACCACAUCAUCCAAGGAUCAAAGUUCUGAUCGUACCAGUUUUUCUUCAGUGGGAGCCCAGGAUUCUGAAUCUACCUCAUUAACAGAUGAAGAUGUCUGCCACGAGUUGGAAGGAGCCACUUCUUCUCAGGAAAGCAGUGCCACUGCAGGGACUAAGGGAAUUGAUUUCAGCAGAACAAGCCUGGAAGGUUCUUCCUCCUUAGAAGGAUCCUUGUCCAAGUUUGCCUUACCUGGGAAAUCAGAAGUGGCAUCUUCCUGCAACACGAGUAAUACAAAUAUCUUCCAGAACUAUGCAAUGGAGGUUCUUAUCUCGAGCUGCUCUCGUUGUAGAACCUGUGAUUGUCUUGUCCAUGAUGAGGAAAUCAUGGCUGGCUGGACAGCAGAUGAUUCAAAUCUCAAUACAACCUGCCCAUUUUGUGGCAAUCUUUUCUUGCCCUUUCUGAACAUCGAAAUAAGAGAUUUAAGACGACCUGGAAGAUACUUUUUGAAGUCAAGCCCGUCUACAGAAAAUAUGCAUUUUCCAUCCUCCUUUUCAAGGCAGACAAGGCAGUCUUGUAUCUCAACAUCAGCCUCUGGUCUUGACACAUCUGUUCUCUCUGUUCCAGGGAAUUUUGAUCUAAAUAGCAAAUCAAAGUUGCUCGAAAAUACAUGUGCCCGAAGUAUUCAGAUCCCUGCUGAUAGAUCAAAAGCAGCUUUGUCAAGAUGUCCAGUAUUUCCAAUGGCCAGGAGUGUUAGUACUUACGGCACCUUGGAUAAGGAAGACAAUGGAGGGCAGACGCUCAUUCCUACAGGCAGCCUGCCAACUACUUUACAAGGAGCUACAGAUUCUUUAGGAUUAGAAUGGCACCUCCCAAGUCCAGAUCCUAUCACUGUUCCAUAUCUUAGUCCUUUAGUGGUAUGGAAGGAACUUGAAAGCUUAUUGGAAAAUGAGGGUGAUCAUGCAAUAACAGUGGCAGACUUUGUGGACCAUCAUCCAAUUGUUUUUUGGAACCUGGUGUGGUAUUUUAGACGUCUUGACUUACCCAGUAAUUUACCUGGAUUGAUUCUUUCUUCUGAGCAUUGUAACAAGUAUUCAAAGAUUCCUCGCCACUGUAUGUCUGAAGACAGUAAAUAUGUUUUAAUACAAAUGUUGUGGGACAAUAUGAAAUUACAUCAGGAUCCAGGACAGCCGUUGUACAUCCUCUGGAAUGCCCACACCCAGAAGUAUCCAGUGGUCCAUUUAUUGCAAAAAGGUGAUAAUUCAUUUAACCAGGAACUAUUGAAAAAUAUGGUAAAAAGCAUUAAAAUGAAUGAUGUCUAUGGACCAAUGAGUCAGAUUUUAGAGACACUGAAUAAAUGUCCUCAUUUUAAAAGACAGAGGAGUUUAUAUAGAGAAAUACUGUUUCUCUCACUUGUGGCACUGGGAAGAGAAAACAUUGAUAUAGAUGCAUUUGAUAAAGAAUACAAGAUGGCAUAUGAUCGUCUCACACCUAGUCAAGUCAAGAGUACCCACAACUGUGAUAGACCACCAAGUACAGGAGUGAUGGAAUGUCGAAAAACCUUUGGAGAACCUUAUCUUUAAGAUAUGUGUGUGUAUUUUUUCAAUAUGUAUUGUGUAGUCAGUGUAUAAAAUAACACUUUUAGACUCUAACCUUUUUUCUGCAAUUUUUCAAAAUGCAUUUGUAAAUGGUUCAGGAAGUUCAGAUAGUUUAUGUACAGAGUGUCUUAAGAAAAUACUAACAAGUGGGAGAGAGCUACUUUGUUUCCCAUUUCUUCUUUUUUUCUUCUCCAGUACAAGUAAUUAAGUAUUUUUGUGAUGAAAAAAUCCAUAAACAAAAUUGGUUCCCAUAGAAUAAGACAACUGUUUUAUGGAUUCUUUUGGAAGAGACAGAUUGGAAAAUCAUGUAUGGAACUUAAACAAAUCUGCUCAUCCAUCAAGACCCAGCCUUCAUUUUUAUGUUUUCGACUCUUUUCUUCAUUGUGUGAAGUCAGAACUUCCUUUCUAGGCAAAGAGAAAUGCCAGAAAUUUAGCAAACGGAUCAGAAAAAUGAUACUCAACUAUUAGAGUCAAUUUUAAUCAUCAAAUGGCAGCCCAGCACUUUAUCUUUACAGGAUGUUUCACCGUCCAUCACUCCUCAUAAGUCAUUCUGGGGAAGAGCAUCAGCUCCCAGGCUGUCAGUGAGGAGGUGACAUCCUCGAGACCAGCUGAGAUUGGUGGCAGAUACCAGAUUGGUGCCCAGAGUGUUGGUAUUGGGAUCUCCCUUCCAUAGGCUCUGCUCUCUCCUCCUGUUCUUAGGCCAUGGCAUAUGGAGACCAGGCAGUGCAGCAGAAUCAGGAAUGAGGAUAACUAAUUUAAGAAUAUGGACUGUGAACAUGAUCCCAUAUUCUUCAUCAGUUGUCUUCUCUCGAGCAUUCUGACUAAAUGACCUAAAGAUAUGGAUAAAAACACAUCCAUUUUUGUAAAAUAUCAUUGGGACUCACAAUUUAUUGAAAUUUAGUGAAAGUCAUUUCCAAAGAAUGUGAGUCCUGGAGUAGUGAGGCCAUGAAUUAAAUUAACCAGCCCGUCUUAAAAGAUGGAUUAUGGACUGAAGGACUUUGAACACAGCCUUUCAACAUCAAAAUGUUUGGUUUCUUUCCCACAUCACACUUGUCCUGCUAUCUUCUAGUCUUCAGUGACUCCUCUCUCAUGUUUGUAAUUAAAGCGAUAUUUACCAUCGUAAACUACAUUCACCUCAGUUCCAUUGGCUUCAUAACCACGACACUGUUUCAUUUUUAAUGUGCCCCUUAACCUGAUGCCAGUAAAAGCAGCAAGCAGUGGUAUUUAAUAUACGAGCACUUCAACUUCCACCUGAAAUGUUUAACCACACAAUU